rnacentral:rRNA from 1 species
UUAAGUGACUAAGCGUACAAGGUGGAUGCCUUGGCAAUCAGAGGCGAAGAAGGACGUGCUAAUCUGCGAAAAGCUUGGAUGAGUCGAUAAGAGGCGCUUAAUCCAAGAUAUCCGAAUGGGGAAACCCAGUAGAUGAAGAAUCUACUAUCAACAAGUGAAUUCAUAGCUUGUUGAGGCAAACCGGGAGAACUGAAACAUCUAAGUACCCCGAGGAAAAGAAAUCAACCGAGAUUUCGUCAGUAGCGGCGAGCGAAAGCGAAAGAGCCAGUAAGUGAUAACAGUAUGGUUAGGAGAAUGUGUUGGGAAGCACAAUCAAAGAGGGUGAUAAUCCCGUAUCUAAAAACCAUAUUGUGGUACUAAGCUAACGAGAAGUAGGGCGGGACACGUGAUAUCCUGUUUGAAGAAGGGGGGACCAUCCUCCAAGGCUAAAUACUCCUGAUUGACCGAUAGUGAACCAGUACUGUGAAGGAAAGGCGAAAAGAACCCCGGUGAGGGGAGUGAAAUAGAACCUGAAACCUUGUACGUACAAGCAGUGGGAGCCCCAUCACUUAAUCCGAUUGGAAGGUGAUGAAAAGCAACCGCACUUAAACAAUGGUAAGAGGAGCGAAGCGAGUCAAACCACCCAAAAGAAGCAGUGGGAUUAAGUGAUGGGGUGACUGCGUACCUUUUGUAUAAUGGGUCAGCGACUUAUAUUUUGUAGCGAGGUUAACUGAAUAGGGGAGCCGAAGGGAAACCGAGUCUUAACUGGGCGAGUAGUUGCAAGGUAUAGACCCGAAACCCGGUGAUCUAGCCAUGGGCAGGUUGAAGGUUGGGUAACACUAACUGGAGGACCGAACCGACUAAUGUUGAAAAAUUAGCGGAUGACUUGUGGCUGGGGGUGAAAGGCCAAUCAAACCGGGAGAUAGCUGGUUCUCCCCGAAAUCUAUUUAGGUAGAGCCUUGAGGUGACACCUUUGGGGGUAGAGCACUGUUUCGGCUAGGGGGCCAUCCCGGCUUACCAACCCGAUGCAAACUACGAAUACCAAAGAGUGAUACUCAGGAGACACACGGCGGGUGCUAACGUCCGUCGUGGAGAGGGAAACAACCCAGACCGCCAGCUAAGGUCCCCAAGUCUAUAUUAAGUGGGAAACGAAGUGGGAAGGCUUAGACAGCUAGGAUGUUGGCUUAGAAGCAGCCAUCAUUUAAAGAAAGCGUAAUAGCUCACUAGUCGAGUCGGCCUGCGCGGAAGAUGUAACGGGGCUGAAAUAUAGCACCGAAGCUGCGGCAUCAGAAUUUAUUCUGUUGGGUAGGGGAGCGUUGUGUAAGCGGAAGAAGGUUCAUCGAGAGGUGGGCUGGACGUAUCACAAGUGCGAAUGCUGACAUAAGUAACGAUAAAACGGGUGAAAAACCCGUUCGCCGGAAGACCAAGGGUUCCUGUCCAACGUUAAUCGGGGCAGGGUGAGUCGGCUCCUAAGGCGAGGCUGAAAAGCGUAGUCGAUGGGAAACAGGUUAAUAUUCCUGUACUUGGUAAAGCUGCGAUGUGGGGACGGAGUAGGUUAGGUUAUCGCACUGUUGGAUAUGUGCGUUUAAGUUGGUAGGUGGGAAGUUUAGGCAAAUCCGGGCUUCCUUAACACAGAGAGAUGAUGACGAGGCUCUACGGAGCUGAAGUAACUGAUACCACACUUCCAGGAAAAGCCACUAAGCGAAAGGCUUUACUAAACCGUACUGAAAACCGACACAGGUGGUCAGGUAGAGAAUACUCAGGCGCUUGAGAGAACUCGGGUGAAGGAACUAGGCAAAAUAGCACCGUAACUUCGGGAGAAGGUGCGCCGGCGUAGAUUGUAAGGGCUAGCCCCUGAAGGUUGAACCGGUCGAAGAUACCAGCUGGCUGCAACUGUUUAUUAAAAACACAGCACUCUGCAAACACGAAAGUGGACGUAUAGGGUGUGAUGCCUGCCCGGUGCUGGAAGGUUAAUUGAUGGUGUAAUCGCAAGAGAAGCACCUGAUCGAAGCCCCAGUAAACGGCGGCCGUAACUAUAACGGUCCUAAGGUAGCGAAAUUCCUUGUCGGGUAAGUUCCGACCUGCACGAAUGGCAUAAUGAUGGCCAGGCUGUCUCCACCCGAGACUCAGUGAAAUUGAAAUCGCCGUGAAGAUGCGGUGUACCCGCGGCUAGACGGAAAGACCCCGUGAACCUUUACUAUAGCUUGACACUGAACAUUGAAUUUUGAUGUGUAGGAUAGGUGGGAGACUUAGAAGUAGUCACGCCAGUGAUUAUGGAGUCGACCUUGAAAUACCACCCUUUAACGUUUGAUGUUCUAACGAAGAUGACGAAACGUGGUCUCGGACAGUGUCUGGUGGGUAGUUUGACUGGGGCGGUCUCCUCCCAAAGCGUAACGGAGGAGCACGAAGGUUUGCUAAUCACGGUCGGACAUCGUGAGGUUAGUGCAAUGGUAUAAGCAAGCUUAACUACGAGACAGACAAGUCGAGCAGGUACGAAAGUAGGUCAUAGUGAUCCGGUGGUUCUGAAUGGAAGGGCCAUCGCUCAACGGAUAAAAGGUACUCCGGGGAUAACAGGCUGAUACCGCCCAAGAGUUCAUAUCGACGGCGGUGUUUGGCACCUCGAUGUCGGCUCAUCACAUCCUGGGGCUGAAGUAGGUCCCAAGGGUAUGGCUGUUCGCCAUUUAAAGUGGUACGCGAGCUGGGUUUAGAACGUCGUGAGACAGUUCGGUCCCUAUCUGCCGUGGGCGUAGGAGAAUUGGUUGGGGCUGCUCCUAGUACGAGAGGACCGGAGUGGACGCACCACUGGUGUUCCGGUUGUGUCGCCAGACGCAUUGCCGGGUAGCUAAGUGCGGAAGAGAUAAGUGCUGAAAGCAUCUAAGCACGAAACUUGCCAAGAGAUGAGUUCUCCCAAUCUAAGAGAUUGUAAGGGUUGUUGUAGACUACGACGUAGAUAGGUCUGGUGUGUAAGUGUAGUGAUGCAUUGAGCUAACAGAUACUAAUUGCCCGAGAGGCUUAACU